UGCAUAUUAGUAAGUGGUGGAAAAUGAACCAAAUGGGAUUCCUUAAGUAAUUGCGAAUGAACAAGGAAAUGAUCAGCUUGAAAAAUGGGGCCUUCGGCUUUGAAUUGUAAUUUUGAAAUGUAUUGCCAAUGGAGGCGCAGGUGCAAGCCUAUUGAAAGAAAGUGUCAAUGAGGGUGAGAUUCCUUUUUGUCAUUUGCAGUCCUCCGUGCACGGUAUGUAUUUGACGAGUCACACUCCUCGGCAUUGGAAUGCAAAGUGGGUGGUAAAUUCCAUGUAAAGGUAAAUAUAUUAUUGAGACUGAUAGCAAACAAGUACCAUGAGGGAAAUAUGAAAAGGACUUUGAAAAGAGAAUUAAAAGAGUCUGCAUUUGCUGAACAGAAAGCAAACAGAAUUGAUCUUGCUUGGUGAGAUUGUUGCGUCUACUCUUGCAUUUCUAUGCUGGAUGUGGGUGCGAUGGUUCUUGCCUUGAAUGUCAGCUUCUAUUUCUGCAAAUCAUUACCCUUGCACAUGAAUGGUAAUUUGCCUGCGGGUAUUGGAAUGCAUGUGUUGGCAAUGAUUUGUGAUUUGACCGUCUUGUUUGGUGGAACCGUCUUGUGACACGUUGCCGUCUUGAAAGGCUUGCCCCCUUGAACACCAGACCCCCUUGCACAAUGUUGCUGGCAAAAUGUUUCUGCUUGACCCGUCUGGAAACACGGUUGUUAAACUAUCAGUUCACGUCGCAAGAAAAUCUU
rnacentral:rRNA from 1 species